rnacentral:rRNA from 1 species
GACGUAGGUGGCGAACGUUAUCCGGAAUUAUUGGGCGUAAAGGGUGCGUAGAUGGCCUGAUAAGUUAGCAGUGGGAAAUCGAGGCUCAACCUCGUGGAAGCUGGUAAUACUGUCAGGCUCGAGUGCAGGAGAGGUUAACGGAACUCCAUGUGGAGCGGUAAAAUGUGUAGAUAUAUGGAAGAACACCAAUAACGGCGAAGGCAGUUAACUAUUCUGUUACUGACAUUGAGGCAUGAAAGCGUGGGGAGCAAAACGG